rnacentral:rRNA from 1 species
CCACGCGUACCCAUCCCGAACACGACCGUUAAGCCCUCCAGCGCCGAUGGUACUUGGACCGAAGGGUCCUGGGAGAGUAGGACGCCGCCAAGC